rnacentral:rRNA from 1 species
UGGUGGAGUGAUUUGUCUGGUUAAUUCCGAUAACGAACGAGACUCUAGCCUGCUAAAUAGACGAGCAAUCCCUUGUGGGUUGACUCGAUUUGCUUCUUAGAGGGACAAGUGGCGUUUCUAGCCACGCGAAAUUGAGCAAUAACA